GCUCAGGAUGAACGCUGGCGGCGUGCCUAACACAUGCAAGUCGAGCGAGGGUUUGCUCAGUAUUGAGUAUUCUAAGUCUAGAAUGUUCAAUUCUGAGCAAAACCAAGCGGCGGACGGGUGAGUAACGCGUGGGUAACCUGCCCUAUACACAUGGAUAACAUACUGAAAAGUUUACUAAUACAUGAUAAUAUAUAUUUGCGGCAUCGCAGAUAUAUCAAAGUGUUAGCGGUAUAGGAUGGACCCGCGUCUGAUUAGCUAGUUGGUGAGAUAACUGCCCACCAAGGCGACGAUCAGUAGCCGACCUGAGAGGGUGAUCGGCCACAUUGGAACUGAGACACGGUCCAAACUCCUACGGGAGGCAGCAGUA
rnacentral:rRNA from 1 species